GCGAUCUUGGCUCACUGUAACCUCUGCCCUCCCAGGUUCAAGCAAUUUUCCUGCCUCAGCCUCUGGAGUAGCUGGGAUUACAGGCGCACGCCACCAUGCCUGGCUAAUUUUUGUAUUUUUAGUAGAGACGGGGUUUCACCAUGUUGACCAGGCUGGUCCUGAACUCCUGACCUCAAGCCAGCCUCCUUCCUCAGAGAGGUGCCUGGGAGAGAUGAAAUGUCCCCUAGUUAGAGGGGACAGCUCCCCACGCCAGGCUGAGUUGA
rnacentral:lncRNA from 1 species